rnacentral:rRNA from 1 species
AUUGAACGCUGGCGGCAGGCUUAACACAUGCAAGUCGAGCGGGGGGAGGUAGCUUGCUACCGGACCUAGCGGCGGACGGGUGAGUAAUGCUUAGGAAUCUGCCUAUUAGUGGGGGACAACAUCUCGAAAGGGAUGCUAAUACCGCAUACGUCCUACGGGAGAAAGCAGGGGAUCUUCGGACCUUGCGCUAAUAGAUGAGCCUAAGUGGGAUUAGCUAGUUGGUGGGGUAAAGGCCUACCAAGGCGACGAUCUGUAGCGGGUCUGAGAGGAUGAUCCGCCAAACUGGGACUGAGACACGGCCCAGAGUUCUACGAGAGGCAGCAGUGGGGAAUAUUGGACAAUGGGGGGAACCCUGAUCCAGCCAUGCCGCGUGUGUGAAGAAGGCCUUAUGGUUGUAAAGCACUUUAAGCGAGGAGGAGGCUACUCUAGUUAAUACCUAGGGAUAGUGGACGUUACUCGCAGAAUAAGCACCGGCUAACUCUGUGCCAGCCGCCGCGGUAG